CAGUAGCCACGGUAACACGUAGGGUGCGAGCGUUAAUCGGAAUUACUGGGCGUAAAGCGUGCGCAGGCGGUUAUAUAAGACAGAUGUGAAAUCCCCGGGCUCAACCAGGGACCUGCAUUUGUGACUGUAUAGCUAGAGUACGGUAGAGGGGGAUGGAAUUCCGCGUGUAGCAGUGAAAUGCGUAGAUAUGCGGAGGAACACCGAUGGCGAAGGCAAUCCCCUGGACCUGUACUGACGCUCAUGCACGAAAGCGUGGGGAGCAAACAGGAUUAGAUACCCGUGUAGUCCCUGUCUCUUAUAC
rnacentral:rRNA from 1 species